rnacentral:rRNA from 1 species
GAUGAACGCUGGCGGCGUGCCUAAUACAUGCAAGUCGAGCGAACGGACGAGAAGCUUGCUUUUCUGAUGUUAGCGGCGGACGGGUGAGUAACACGUGGAUAACCUACCUAUAAGACUGGGAUAACUUCGGGAAACCGGAGCUAAUACCGGAUAAUAUUUUGAACCGCAUGGUUCAAAAGUGAAAGACGGUCUUGCUGUCACUUAUAGAUGGAUCCGCGCUGCAUUAGCUAGUUGGUAAGGUAACGGCUUACCAAGGCAACGAUGCAUAGCCGACCUGAGAGGAUGAUCGGCCACACUGGAACUGAGACACGGUCCAGACUCCUACGGGAGGCAGCAGUAGGGAAUCUUCCGCAAUGGGCGAAAGCCUGACGGAGCAACGCCGCGUGAGUGAUGAAGGUCUUCGGAUCGUAAAACUCUGUUAUUAGGGAAGAACAUAUGUGUAUGUAACUGUGCACAUCUUGACGGUACCUAAUCAGAAAGCCCCGGCUAACUACGUG